rnacentral:rRNA from 1 species
GCGCAGCAGGCGAGAAAACUUCACAAUGUGCGAAAGCACGAUGAGGGAAUCCCAAGUGCUUGCACGUAAGUGUAAGCUGUUUCUCUGUCUAAAACGCAGAGAGAGUAAGGGCUGGGUAAGACGGGUGCCAGCCGCCGCGGUAAUACCUGCAGCUCGAGUGGUGACCGUUAUUAUUGGGCCUAAAACGUCCGUAGCCGGUUUAAUAAAUGCCUGGGUAAAUCGGACCGCUUAACGGUUCGAAUUCCGGGUAGACUGUUAAACUUGAGACCGGGAGAAGUUGGAGGUACUCCUGGGGUAGAGGUGAAAUUCUGUAAUCCUAGGGGGACCACCAGUGGCGAAGGCGUCUAACCAGAACGGGUCUGACGGUGAGGGACGAAGCCCUGGGGCGC